rnacentral:rRNA from 1 species
GAUGAACGCUGGCGGCGUGCCUAAUACAUGCAAGUCGAGCGAACAGACGAGGAGCUUGCUCCUCUGACGUUAGCGGCGGACGGGUGAGUAACACGUGGAUAACCUACCUAUAAGACUGGGAUAACUUCGGGAAACCGGAGCUAAUACCGGAUAAUAUAUUGAACCGCAUGGUUCAAUAGUGAAAGACGGUUUUGCUGUCACUUAUAGAUGGAUCCGCGCCGCAUUAGCUAGUUGGUAAAGUAACGGCUUACCAAGGCAACGAUGCGUAGCCGACCUGAGAGGGUGAUCGGCCACACUGGAACUGAGACACGGUCCAGACUCCUACGGGAGGCAGCAGUAGGGAAUCUUCCGCAAUGGGCGAAAGCUUGACGGAGCAACGCCGCGUGAGUGAUGAAGGUCUUCGGAUCGUAAAACUCUGUUAUUAGGGAAGAACAAAUGUGUAUGUAACUAUGCACGUCUUGACGGUACCUAAUCAGAAAGCCACGGCUAACUACGUG